GUUUGUAAGUUUUCAUGUAUAUGACGUCACGUUUAGCCAUGACGUCUUUGUACCAAAAUCAUUCAUGAAGUUUCGCUGAUUUUUUUCUGUUUGUCAAAUUUAGACAUUUUUUCAAGUUUUAUCGUAUGUUUUCUUUUUGUAAUGCAUUAGAAUCGGAAUAACAGUACUGUAGUUGAAGAGUUGCCACCGUCAAUUUUGAUUUGACGAAAGCAACUAUUCAACUACAGUUCUGUUAUUCCUUAAAUCAACACUACAAGAAAAAAAUAUUCUACUUUCAAUUGUUUUAUCUAAAUAUUUGAUUGGUUAUGUUUUUCAGGGAACAGAAGUAAAAGCCAUCACCUAUUCUAAUAUUUGAUUGGUUAUGUUUUUCAGGGAACAGAAGUAAAAGCCAUCACCUAUUCUAAUAUUUGAUUGGUUAUGUUUUUCAGGGAACAGAAGUAAAAGCCAUCACCUAUUCUAAUAUUUGAUUGGUUAUGUUUUUCAGGGAACAGAAGUAAAAGCCAUCACCUAUUCUAAUAUGCAGAUCUAUGACGGAGAUAAACAUGAAGUCUUUGUCAUUAUUGAUAUCUGAUGGAUGGAGAUAAACAUGAAGUCUUUGUCAUUAUUGAUAUCUGAUGAUUGUUGUAAAUACAUUUGUAAUAAACAUGAUAAACUUAUGGUUGUAUGGUUGUUUAUAAUUAUUUAUAUCAACUUCAUUUAUACUGUAGUGGAUAGUUGCCUG
rnacentral:lncRNA from 1 species